CAUAUCCAAGUUUUUGUAUUCCGUAGUCGCCAUACUCCCAAGUUGUCAACAUCCCAGUUCCCGCAUACUCAAAUUUGCAUAUCCAAAUUAAUCGCUUUCCUCAUCCUGAAAAAUUCAAGACUAGUCUGGCCAGUUCCCUCUUCUGAUGUGAACGAAACAGGGGUAUAAUUAGUCGUGUCGAGGAGAUCAUCUCACAGUGUUUCGCGAGAAACCGAAAGAAAGUGAAUUAUAGUUCGACUCGAUCGGCAUUUACGUUGGCAACAACGAAACACAUUCUUGGAUAUUUGUUGCUGUUGACAAUCAUAUUGGCUGUUGCGACCCGUGCUGAUUCUUCAGAUAGUACGCAUUCUCGUGUGUCUCGCGGUGCCAUUAUAGCAAGAGAGAGACUUUGACCACCGGGAGACGUCAGAAGCCUGGCCAGAGGAUGUAGAACCCGUUCACAUGAGAAGCCAGACUCGGAAGAAUCAGACGCCAUGGAGAAGAAAUAGCUGCACCAUCCCGCUAUCGAAAUUUGGAUUCUGCAUUAUAAAUGUUCGGAGAAAUUGGCUAGCGAAUAAAACAGGAGUUCGAGGGA
rnacentral:misc_RNA from 1 species